rnacentral:lncRNA from 1 species
CCCCACAACCCCCUCUCUCGCACCAACAAAAUAGUUCUGAAUCGCCUGGUACCCACAAGCACAGAGAUUUAGAGCCGCUUAUGCACUCCUUGAAAUCUGGGUAGUUCAGAGACCUCAAGUUCGAAAAAUAUGGAAUUCGCGAGCGCAUGAAAAAUGGCAACAUCGCUUCAUACUCGAAACCGGCCCCAACCGGUGCUCGGACAACGGACCUUUGGUUGAGGUGAGCUCCACAUCUGGGAGGGAUGCUGGGCCACGGCAGGGACAAGCAUCCGUGUUAUGAUUUACGCACUGCCGCGCGACGCCCGAAAACUAGUUUUUAUACUUCCAGCCCCGGCGGCGGCGGCCCAACUGGAGCGCGAAAAGGGGCACGUCUCGAUGACGUGUUGCGUCAGCAUCCCUCCGAGUUGUCAAGCGUCCGGUUUCGGUCCGGUUCAGUAUCCUAUGUGCUUUUUGAGCGGUUGUGCGCUGUUCGUUGCUUUCUUCUACUAGCACUGUGAAGAUUUUACGCCCGUCAGCUAUACUAUAGUUAUCAGAAGCAAUCCGAAUAUGAACAUUUUCUUCCAACCGUGACUGACAUAAAGCGAACACCACUCGUGAUACAACUAUUUUAACUCUCCGGAGCGCAAAUUGCAUAUCCAGCCGAAAUUGAAGGCGCACUUGGUGAAAGAUCGAUCACACACAUUCAGAGUCUCGUCCGCCUGAGCCGCAGAAUAGCAGGAUAUUUGAAGUAGCCGAAAGGAAUGAAUUGCAAGAAAGAAAUGACCUCCUCUUGCAGGUGCCACAGAUUAACGUCGGAGCUGGAAGAGUUCGAGAUCAAAGAUCAUCCAGUGAGCCAUCGAUUGCCGGCUUUCGACUACCACCUAUUAAUGAAACUUCACCAACUCAACAUAACGGCCUUUACGACCACACAUUUCGUCCUAGUGCUGAUUGUUUAUUGCCUACAAUUUAUGGGGAUGUUGAAAAUCCGCCCGGGGAGGGUUUUUGGUUCAGAUCACCAUCAGAUCGGUUGA